rnacentral:rRNA from 1 species
UAGGGAAUCUUCCGCAAUGGGCGAACGCCUGACGGAGCAACGCCGCGUGAGUGAUGAAGGUCUUCGGAUCGUAAAACUCUGUUAUUAGGGAAGAACAAAUGUGUAAGUAACUAUGCACGUCUUGACGGUACCUAAUCAGAAAGCCACGGCUAACUACGUGCCAGCAGCCGCGGUAAUACGUAGGUGGCAAGCGUUAUCCGGAAUUAUUGGGCGUAAAGCGCGCGUAGGCGGUUUUUUAAGUCUGAUGUGAAAGCCCACGGCUCAACCGUGGAGGGUCAUUGGAAACUGGAAAACUUGAGUGCAGAAGAGGAAAGUGGAAUUCCAUGUGUAGCGGUGAAAUGCGCAGAGAUAUGGAGGAACACCAGUGGCGAAGGCGACUUUCUGGUCUGUAACUGACGCUGAUGUGCGAAAGCGUGGGGAUCAAACAGG